rnacentral:misc_RNA from 1 species
GUGAAUCAUCAGUUCCACUGGCCAAAUUUAGAGAACCCCUAGGCCAAUUUUGGAGGUUCAAUACUACAAUUUGUUGAGGAUUGGAAAUUUUGUUUUUCAUAACCUUUUUCAUUCGGUUAGUUCUCAUUUAUAGGGAAGAUUUCACAGCCCUAAUUCCAGGAUUAGUAAAAUUAAUUUCUUCUUCUUCAUUGACAUAAGGGUCAGC